GAAAGCAUGGGGAGCGAACAGGAUUAGAUACCCUGGUAGUCCAUGCCGUAAACGAUGAGUGUUCGGCAAGAAGUUUCGCACUCUAACUCGAAACGGAUUUUGCGCAUUUAAAGCCCUUGCUU
rnacentral:rRNA from 1 species